rnacentral:lncRNA from 1 species
UUCAAGGAAAAAUAAAAAUGAAAACAAAAUAUUCGUUCUUAUUCCCCUUUCUCAUAAAACAAAAAUAGCCGAACUCUUUCAUACAGUAAUUCCAAUUCCCUGCUUAGGAGCAAAUGGAAUUCGCACGAGAAACACUGAGCCAAAUACCACAAGCUCAAACAAGUGUUCAAAAAAGAGAAAAAUACUAAAUUUUUCAUUGAGAUUACCCAACCCUCCACCGCAUUGCUGGAUAUAGACAAGGCUGUAUAACUGGUAAAUUCAUA